AUGAACGCUGGCGGCGUGCCUAAUACAUGCAAGUCGAGCGAACAGACGAGGAGCUUGCUCCUCUGACGUUAGCGGCGGACGGGUGAGUAACACGUGGAUAACCUACCUAUAAGACUGGGAUAACUUCGGGAAACCGGAGCUAAUACCGGAUAAUAUAUUGAGCCGCAUGGUUCAAUAGUGAAAGACGGUUUUGCUGUCACUUAUAGAUGGAUCCGCGCCGCAUUAGCUAGUUGGUAAGGUAACGGCUUACCAAGGCGACGAUGCGUAGCCGACCUGAGAGGGUGAUCGGCCACACUGGAACUGAGACACGGUCCAGACUCCUACGGGAGGCAGCAGUAGGGAAUCUUCCGCAAUGGGCGAAAGCCUGACGGAGCAACGCCGCGUGAGUGAUGAAGGUCUUCGGAUCGUAAAACUCUGUUAUUAGGGAAGAACAAAUGUGUAAGUAACUAUGCACGUCUUGACGGUACCUAAUCAGAAAGCCACGGCUAACUACGUG
rnacentral:rRNA from 1 species